CUCCUCCGGCGGAGUGCCGGCUCGUCUCCCUGCCUACCGGGUGAGUACCGGCUCAUCUCCCCUCCGGCGGAGUGCCGGCUCCUCUCUCCUCCGGCGGAGUGCCGGCUUAUCUCCCUGCCCACCGGGUGAGUACCGGCUCCUCUCCCCGCCGGCUGAGUGCCGGCUCCUCUCCCCAUGGCUGCUGGUGAGCUGACCUUUUUGAUGAGAAUCAGUCCCUUUGUUUUCGCAUGCAGAGCUACACCUCUGACUUUGCCUCUUUGAAAAUAGCGGCAAUCAUUCAUGAGCGCUGACACAGGUGCACAGGCAGAUAGAGGUAUAAAUAAAAAAUAAUCAAGAUGUAGGCUGAGAUUUAGCUGCCCUCCCCAGAUGCCUCUGAAAAGGGUAUCCCUCAAAGGGUAUCCCUCAGAGGGUAUUCCCCUCAGUGUUCAAACACGUAUGAGGCACGUUCAUAAUUAAUGAUUAAAUUUCCCAUUUUUAUUUAGAUUUUUAUCUAUAACCAUAAGAUAAAAUUGCAUAUUAUUUUCCUCAGUGCACCGGUCCUGGCAUUGAGCACAUGGCUCUUACAAUCUGCUCCUUGCGAAACAAAACAUCCCCGGCAGAACACGCAGCACCGAAGAUCUGUAAAGGAAGUAUCUUUUUAAACAGGAUUAGUCUGCUGAAAUAGCCCACUAGGACAUAAACAGGAAGAGAAACCCGUAGGUUUUUGUCAAUAGCUUUUCACGCGUUGGUCCAAUGGACAUUCAUGGUGAAAUAUCACGGGCUGACUUUCACACUGUACUAGCAGAAAACUUGCCUUUUUUCCCUCCUCCCUCUUCAUUCACCCUCCUUGGAAACCACCACAAAGACCCAGGACUAUCAGGCCACCCCAUGCAGGUAUGACAGCGAGACCCCAGUGUAUUUUUGUCCCAAUCACAUUGGCCAAUGUCCGGCCAUUAAAAAUAGAAUUCCUAUUCAAGAGAGCAUUGCGUGUCCAGAUGCGAGGAGACAGAUCCGUAUCAGCACAAAUGGUGUGGAAGUAGCAACGUACUGCCAAUUGAUUAUGAAACCACAUUUACAAUCUAUAGUUUUGUAGUGCACAUUCAGCCCCAGUCAACAACAACGAAGGCAGUAUUCAGUGAAGCUUCCUGCCUUAAUAUUAGUCAUUUGUAUCUUUAUGCAUCCUCAGAGACUUCCACUCUGACUUACCACACAAAAAGUUUAUCACACUACUAAAAAUUGUUCAUGAUUAGACUGUAAAUGCAGACCUGCUCAAUGCUCUUACAUAGAUGCUCUUACUGUAGGAAUGUGAAAUUUGCAUUGAAACAUGAUUGAACAAAAACAACUUUAAUGUGUCAUAACAGGUAUCUGUGAAGGGGUUUGGAAAUAUCUCUGGUGAUGCGAGGCUGUGACCCACCAUUUUAGAGACUUCAGUGACAGUUCCCCUCCACAGCUUUCAAUUUGACUUCAUUAAAAGCAUCAUUCAUUGUUUUUUAUUCUGACCUCUCAACACUGACGUUCAUUCUAACCCUAACCCCUGACCUUUGAUUCUAUUUCAUUCUGACCUCUGAACCCUGACCUUUGAUUCUUUUUCAUUCUAACCUCAGAACCUUGACCUUUGAUUAUUUUUCAUUCUGACCUCAGAACCUUGACCUUUGAUUCUUUUUCAUUUUGACCCCUGACCUUUGAUUCUUUUUCAUUCUGACCUCAGAACCCUGACCUUUGAUUAUUUUUCAUUCUGACCUCAGAACCUUGACCUUUGAUUCUUUUUCAUUCUGACCUCUGAACCCUGACCUUUAAUUAUUUUUCAUUUUCACCAAUGACCUUUGAUUCUUUUUCAUUCUGACCUCUGAACCCUGACCUUUGAUUAUUUUUCAUUUUCACCAAUUACCUUUGAUUCUAUUUCAUUCUGACCUCUGAACCCUGACCUUUAAUUCUUUUUAAUUCUGACCCCUGAACUUUGAUUCUUUUUUCCUUUUCACUUCUCAACCCUGCUUUUAGAUUCUGGUUGAAUCUCAAUACCAAGAACACAAAGACCGUAUUUGUGGUCUUGGCAAGACUGGUCUUGCAAUCAUGCCUUCCAAGAACAAUCUCUCAAGAUAACGAGGACUGAGAACGCAGCAAUUGUGGAUUGAGACAGAUGUGUACUUAUUGUUUCACUACCCUGUACACCCAGCUCAUUACACGGCCAUAAUUUUUAUUAUUUAAUAAAAGACGCAUAAUAAAAAUGUCCAAUUUAAAUGACUGAUUAUUCCUGGUAUGAUUACUAGUGCAUUUUUCACAAAUAAAGUUUACACUUAAAAUAUUCAUAUUUAUUUCAAUUCCACUUUUCAAUUCCAGUUCAGCAGUCUCACGAGCCAAAAAAGUGAAAAACAGCGGGGAAAAAUAGUACCUGACAGGAACGACGGACACGUUGCUCCCAUUAAGGUAACCCCGAUUAAGGUAACCCCGAUUAAGGUAAUAGUUAUAGUUCCUGCCUUCUUCUUCUGCCAUUGCAACAGCAUUUGAUUGUUCUCAUUUGGAAAGGAUGCACCUGAUCCAUCCUUGAUAUUUGGGGCGGAGCAAGACCAGCACCUGGGAAUUUUUACCAUCCUCUGAUCUUGUGAUCUUAGUAUCGGAAUGGUGUUUUAGCAUUGGAAGAUGACAUAAAACAGGCACACGAGUACGGUCAAGUAUGCAUAAUUGAGAUUCAGCCUCUAUUUCAUUUUGACCUCUGACCCCUGACCUUUCAUUCUUCACCAUAGCAGCAAUUGUCACAGAGUGGCAUGGAUCCGUCAGCCAGCAGAAACGUGAGAAGCAGUGGUUUUGGGGGAUGUUCACUUUCGGUUUCCCUCAUGGAGGAACAUGAGGAUAGUUACGUCUCAUUAGACAUCUGAGCCCAUCACAGCCACCGUCUCACAUCACUGAAUGACUCUGAAACGCUGAGGCACAUGCAGGGGUUUUGCAGGGGCAUGAGUACCCAGAUAAAUGCAUGGGGGCCCGGCACUUCAUAGGGAUGCUUGAAUAUGUAAAAUUCUGUGCAAGAUUCAAUGGGAGGACCAAGGUGACAUAUCCUGAGGUGACCCAGAAUUUGUAAGCACCCCUGCUUACAUGUGAUCAUUGUAUCAUCUUUCACGGUCAGUAAAAUGCCCCGAGCAUCAGCUACUGUGAAAGAGCUCUCAGAAAAGAAACACUGUCACCCAAAACUGAAAAAAAUAUGUAAUAAUCCAUCCAUUCAUGACCUUCAGGCUCAUUCUCCCGGAUUCUUUUAUGUGCUCUUUCAGCUGGUGUUCUGUUAUGCGCGGAUGCAUUGUGGGAAAUGUGCUGUUUCUCUAAAAGCACGCAUAAUUCUCAGACAAAUCCCGGUGCUCAUAAAUAGCUACGCGCAUAAAGGCAUGUUCUUGGACUCCACAGUAAAGCGUCGGGACUAAUAAUAUAAACCCUUGAAGCAAAACCAGUAAAAAAUCGAAAAGUAAAACAGCUGUCUCUCACCUGAUGCAGGAAUGUUCUUUAAAAAGCAAACAUGAAUUUGAAGAUAGAAGAGGAAACUAUUUUUAUAAAGAAUAUUUUACGAGUAAAUCAAAACAAUAAUAAAACUGUAAUUGUGUAGAUCUUCGAAAGAUUUAAAGUGUCUUUUUUUGGUUGUUUUCCCUUGAGGCUGCAGGUUGUUCCUUUAUUAAAUUCCCGCGUUUGCCAUUGCAUGUGCGACUGCGUUCCCACACAGGACUGUCCAGGGAGAGCCGUGCCUUGUGCCUGGAAUUUCCAAGACAGACUCCAGACUCAACAGAGCCCUGCAGUGGAUAAGCAGCUAUGGAAGAUGGAUGGAUUGAUCUCUGUAUAUAUGUAAUUAUCUGUAUAUCUGUAUUUUAUCCGUAUAUGUGUAAUCAUCUGUAUAUCUAUAGUGUAUAAUCUAACUCCUGCUUUUAACUGAAAUAUAAAUGCCACCCUAUAAGAAGCAUUCACUAGCAGCUCUAUUGGAAUUGCACAAAAAAUAAUGUGAAAUUUAUUUUAUAAACUCCCUUUUUUCAGUAAGUAAUAUUUGUUGACAGUAACCCUGGGCUCUCAGCUUAGCCAUUCGAAGUCUAUGUAAUUAUGUCAUUUUCAAUUCCCUUAAUGGGAGACUUGAGACACAGUUUGGCGAACAACAAAUCAGAAAAACAAGAAGACACUUAAGACAUUUAAUGAGAUGCUUGUCUCUUGCUGAUGUGUAGGAAAAGAACGUAAUCAUUGAUGUUUCCUUUUAACAAAGCCUGGGAUGCCAAUAAUAAUAUCAUUAAAUC